CUGAUCCAGUGAUGAUUUCAUAGUUCAACAGAUUACUAUGAAGAAGAAACCUGUCUUUCGCUCCUAUCUGAUGCAUCAG
ensembl:snoRNA